AGCAGGGGAGUCGCCGCAGGGCGGCUGAGAGUAAGCAAGAGCUUAGACCCGUUGAACCUGAUCCGGUUAAUACUGGCGGAGGGAGCGCUUUUU
rnacentral:ncRNA from 1 species